UGCUGCAUUCUCUGUAAGUCGCUUUGGAUAAAAGCGUCUGCUAAAUGUAAUGUA
rfam:Larimichthys crocea isolate SSNF unplaced genomic scaffold scaffold413, whole genome shotgun sequence.